CUGAGGCUAGGUUCUCUGAUCUGUAUCAUGGGGAAAUCCACUGUACCUUCCCAAGAGGCUUGGUUAGAGGAGGAAUGAGAACAGUACCUGACUUUUAUCAUGUGCUUACAAGAUGCCAGACACUGUUCCAGGUCUUUUACAUGCAUGACGUGAGUCUUCAUUUUGGUUGCUCCAACUCAGUUUUCCCAGAAAACCACUCAUUGAAAAAGGAAGAAUGGGCAUGGAUUUAACCUAAAUGGAAGACCUCUCUUCACCCCACCCACCCUCCCAGACACAGAAUCCUUAGCAACUGAGAAGCCC